CGCGUACGCAGCGCGGCAGUAAAAGUUGCGGUAGAAAACGGCAAAAACGCCACCACCGCCAUCACGGCUGCGGGCUACCACCACCACGGCACCACCGCGUGGUUUGACUCGUCGCCGACUCAGAUCGCCUCGUCGGUGACACACACCCACACACGGCGAGAAAGAGUGAGAGAAAGACGAAGUGGAGGACUCCCCCCACUCUAUAAAUUUACUGGGGUUUGGUUGGUGCGUGUGCAGUGCAGUGUGCGUGAGUCAUCGCGGAGUCGUCAGUGUUUCAUCGUGUGCGCCGCGCCGCUGCGUGCAGUGCGUUGCGUUCCUCCACUCCCGCGGCGACCGCUUCAACUCGCGCAUCUCGAGGAGGCCGGCUCGGCUGCUGCGCCUCACUCUCACUCUCACUCACACUGCAGUGGUGGUAGUGGUAGGCAAUGGCGGCGCCGGCGCCGAAGCAGGAGGAACUGCAGCCGCACGCGGUGAAGGACCAGCUGCCGGCCAUCUCCUACUGCCUCACCAGCCCUCCCCCAUGGCCGGAGGCCAUCCUGCUCGGAUUCCAGCACUACCUCGUCAUGCUCGGCACCACGGUCAUCAUCCCCACCGCGCUCGUCCCCCAGAUGGGCGGCGGCAAUGAGGAGAAGGCGCGGGUGAUCCAGACGCUGCUGUUCGUCGCCGGCAUCAACACGCUGAUCCAGAGCUUCCUCGGCACGCGCCUGCCCGCCGUCAUCGGGGGCUCCUACACCUUCGUCGCGCCCACCAUCUCCAUCAUCCUCGCCGGCCGCUACAACGGCAUUGCCGAUCCCCACGAGAAAUUCGUGCGCAUCAUGCGGGGAACGCAGGGCGCACUCAUAGUGGCCUCCACGCUCCAAAUCAUCAUGGGGUUCAGUGGGCUCUGGCGGAUUGUCGUCAGGCUGCUGAGCCCACUGUCCGCAGCACCAUUGGUUGCGCUUGUUGGAUUUGGGCUCUAUGAGCUUGGAUUCCCAAGUGUUGCCAAAUGUGUGGAGAUUGGCCUUCCACAAAUCAUACUGCUGGUGGCUCUUUCCCAGUACAUACCUAAGCUGGUGCCUUUGUUGGGGACUGCGUUCGAGCGUUUCGCCAUCAUAAUGUCUGUGGCCCUUGUCUGGCUUUACGCCUUCUUCCUGACUGUUGGUGGGGCGUACAAGAAUGCUGCUCCGAAGACACAAUUUCACUGUCGAACUGAUCGAUCUGGGCUUGUAGGGGGUGCUCCAUGGAUAAGUGUACCUUACCCAUUCCAGUGGGGAGCACCAACGUUUGAUGCUGGUGAAGCUUUUGCAAUGAUGGCAGCUUCUUUUGUUGCUCUUGUGGAGUCUACUGGUGCAUUCAUUGCUGUCUCACGGUACGCCAGUGCAACACCAUGCCCUCCUUCUGUUAUGAGUCGCGGCAUUGGUUGGCAGGGGGUUGGUAUUUUGCUGGGUGGCUUAUUUGGAACAGCUAAUGGAUCAUCUGUAUCUGUUGAAAAUGCUGGUUUGCUAGGUUUGACACGUGUUGGCAGCAGACGUGUGGUGCAGAUUUCUGCUGGAUUUAUGAUUUUCUUCUCUAUUCUUGGGAAAUUUGGAGCGGUAUUUGCUUCAAUUCCAGGCCCAAUAAUUGCAGCUAUAUACUGUCUUCUCUUUGCAUAUGUCGGUAUGGCAGGAGUAGGGUUCCUUCAGUUUUGCAACCUGAACAGCUUCCGAACAAAAUUCAUCGUGGGAUUCUCCGUGUUUAUGGGUUUGUCGGUUCCACAGUAUUUCAACGAGUACACCUCUGUUGCAGGCUAUGGCCCAGUACACACUCACGCAAGAUGGUUCAAUGAUAUGAUCAAUGUGGUAUUCUCGUCAAAAGCAUUCGUCGGAGGCGCUGUAGCAUAUUUGUUGGACAAUACCCUCCAGAGGCAUGACAGCACUGCCAGGAAGGACCGGGGGCACCAUUUCUGGGACAGAUUCAGGUCGUUCAGGACAGACCCACGCAGCGAGGAGUUCUACUCUCUGCCUUUCAACCUCAACAAGUUCUUCCCAUCCUUCUGAUUUUGCACGCCAGUGUUUUGUAUCAAAUUGGGAUAGCAUUGUAGUACGAUUAGUUCUUGGACCCCAGUGUAAAACUAUCUGAGGAAGGAGAAAUGACUCGGUAUUUUUGGGUGUAUAUUAGUUCGGAUUAACAGUUAAAUCAACAAACUGAAAAUGCCUAGUUUUUCUUCCCCCGAGGCUGUAAUUUCAGCUGUGAUUUUACUAUCUUCAGUGUAAGCAGUUAAAUCCUUUCAGCUGUGAUUUCACUA